UGUCCUUCUAGCUGAGUAGGGGAACAUCAUGUAUAAGCAAUGGUAGAAGUCAAUGGAGAUUGCACUAAUCUAUUUGAAGGUCAGGUCAUGCUGAUUUGAACUAGUGUGAGAAGUGUUUGGAAUCGGGACGUAUUAUGAAAAUGGAAUCCAAGAUUUGCAGAUGAGAUGUGCAUGUAGCCAUGAACUGAGUUUCGUCAGAUGAGUAAACAUUGUGAUGAACAGGGGAAUGAUGAAAGGGAACUCUAGGCUGCUCCCUAGGAAUUAAAAGCAGGAGAGGACUAAUUAGAAUUGUUCCUUCAUCCACACAAAAGCUGGGAGGUUAAAGUGAGAAUAUGAUAAUGUGACACAUGGUGAGUAUUUCAUCAUUGCUGGUUCUCUUCUACUUUGAAUAUUCUGAAAAAGAUAUAAAAAUAUGAGACACCAAAUUGUGUCACAAUUAGAGAGCUUAUUACCAGCUCUAAGAAAACUUGUGUUGAAUGGAAUACUAUGGAACCUGGGCAGAAAAGUCUUAAAAAGACAAAUCGUUAAUUUAGAAUCUCUUCUUGCACCUUAAUUAACAAAGGAAGGGGUUUUGAGAAAAUCUGUGGCACACUGGCACAUGAUUCAGAAAGCCUAUGAAGAGUCCCUGAAAUGCACUUCUGAGCUAUCCUUCAAUAGAUUCUAUCAACGCUAGAGUCUUAGGAGAAAAAGCAGUACUAGAAACAUAUCUAGUGAUAUCUGAGACAAAUGGAGCAGACCAGCUCUGUGAAUGAUUUCACUCUUACUCCUAUUUCAAGGCAAAUGCUACUAAGUGUUGGCCCGUUCCGUCAAUAACGAGUUCCUAUGAUCAUGUAUGUAUUUUAACAUAUGCUUUAUUUUUUUCACUUAUCUUUACUUUUCAUUUUUCAUUUUUUCCUCUAUACUUUUUUCACAAAGCGUUGAAGAAUCAGCCUUUGUUGAAAAUAAUCUAGAUUUCAAAUAAUCCCCCUCUAUCCUCCUUCAGUUCAGUAUUACUUUCCUUUCUUUGGCUGUCCUGUCCCAGAGCUCUAGAUGACUUGUCUCAUUUCAGACAGUGAAUUUUGCCCUUUGCACCUUUCAGGCGAUCAUUAGUCAUUUCAAAGAUUUUAUAGAGAAUGAUAAAGGAAACUGUUAUUGAAGGACUUGGGGCUGUGCAUUAUUAUUUUGGCCUUGACAAAUACCCAUUGGUAAUGAAGACUUCAAAGAGCCUUCAUUAUGGCCUCAGAAAGGAACAGCGGGAAAGUUAAUUACCUGGAGCCAAAAAUCCUAUUUUCCCUUUAACAACCCAGGGCUGCACUUUAAAGGCAAUCAAAUGGAGUGCUGUUUGGCAAAUAGUCAGCCUUUCUUGAAAUGCUGAGGGUAAUUAGAUGCUCUCCUGUCUGUCAUUAAAGACAAAUUGUUUGUAAAUGGUUAACAUUUGAGGACUGCACUGUGUCUUCAACCUUUAUCAUAAUUAUAUUGCCAAUAUUGACCAGAAUAUUCUAAACCGAGAAAUGGGAGCUUAUUGCAAGCCUAAUUGCUUGAUAAUGAAUUACUGCUGCUCUUAAAAAAAAAAACCCUCACUAUUUAUGUAUGAAUGUAUGUAUGUAUGUAUGUAUGUAUGUAUUUUGCCUUCAUUUUCUUUAGGGGUUUUGACAUUUGCAAUUCAAAUUUACUAGGAGGAAGUCUUCUGUGAAAAGAAUCAUCCAUCCCCUGAUAAUGGCUAAUUUUAUUCCUAAUUGGGGCUAUGAACCAUUCAAAGAAAAAACUUUCAACCCUUUCCAAAAUCCAUUGGCUUGAAAGAAACCCAGAUGUCAUUAGUGUGUCAGUGUUCCCUGAUGAGAGCUAAGGAUGAAUAAAGCAUUUUUGACUUUUAGAGGAGCUUUUGAGACUGUGAUGUCAUCAGCUUCUCCCAGGCUUGAGAGCUAUUUACUUCAUUGUAUUGUAAUUUAAUGCAGUACUCUUAUUCAGUUACUAGUCACCCUACAUAAAAGUAGAAAGCCCAGAAGAAAGGACACAAGAUCCAUGCUCCUGACCUUAGGAUAACUGAUUUAAACUUUUCUUCACCUUUCAAAUGGUCUUACCCUUAUUGGCUUGAUUACUCUAAGUGCUGCGUUGUUCAUUCCUGAUUGGCUCAAUUCCAUUGUGUGAGGAAUCAGAUGGCGGUCCUACUAUCCCUCAUAUAACGUGAAGAUAUUUGUGAAUUAAGAGAUGUAAAAAGGCUUUGUCUCAACUCCCCUUACCUGCCUAAAAGCAGAGCCUCCCCAAGGAGUUCAACUGUCAUAAAUCCUUUUGCCAGAAUUUCAUAACCAGGGAAGAUGACUCCUAUCAACAAGAUGAGAAGCCAGCACUGGGAUAAGAAAUUGUCCAAGAAAUUGUUACAAAACUAUCAUAUCUCCCAUCUGUUUUCCUAAGUACCCCUUUAUCUUUCCUAAGUGGUCCUUUCUCCUCCAACUUUUCCCACACUAAUGUGGUAUAUAAGUCCCAAAUUCUAACCCCCUCUUUAUGUCACAUUUUCUGUGAGCUGUCCUAUAAACAAAUAAGAAUAAACAUUGUCUUUUCUAUUGUAAAUCUUCCUUUUGUCAGUUUAAUUUGCAGGCCCUUAAGAACAAACUUAAGAAAGCUGAGGAAAAAUUUUUCCUCCCUGACAAAGGCAAUGUCAAA